GUCUGACCUGCUCACUGAGUUGAUUUAAAGAGCCGCGGUAUUUUGACCGUGCAAAGGUAGCAUAAUCAUUAGUUUCUUAAUUAGGGGCUUGAAUGAAUGGUUUAACGAGAAAUUAACUGUCUCUUAAUAAAUUUUGGAAUUUAACUUUUGAGUUAAAAGGCUUAAAUAUUUCUUUAGGACGAGAAGACCCUAUAGAGCUUAACAUUUUUAGAUUUAUAUUAUUUUUGUCUAUUUUUAAGUAUAAGUUUUUUAAUGUUUAGUUGGGGUGACUUGAAGAAUAAUUAAACUCUUCAUUAUUAAAUCAUUAAUUUAUGUUUAUUUGAUCCAUAAUUUAUGAUCAUAAGAUUAAGUUACCUUAGGGAUAACAGCGUAAUCAUUUUUGAGAGUUCCUAUCGACAAAAUGGGUUGCGACCUCGAUGUUGGAUUAAGAUUAAUUUUAGGUGUAGUAGCUUAAUAAUUAGGUCUGUUCGACCUUUAAAUUCUU
rnacentral:rRNA from 1 species